rnacentral:rRNA from 1 species
CCUACGGGUGGCAGCAGUGGGGAAUAUUGGACAAUGGGGGAAACCCUGAUCCAGCGACGCCGCGUGAGUGAAGAAGGAUUUCGGUACGGAAAGCUCUAUCAGCAGGAAAGAAAAUGACGGUACCUGACUAAGAAGCCCCGGCUAACUACGUGCCAGCAUCCGCGGUAAUACGUAGGGGGCAAGCGUUAUCCGGAUUUACUGGGUGUAAAGGGUGCGUAGGCGGGUGCGCAAGUCUGGAGUGAAAUGCCGGGGCCCAACGCCGGAACUGCUCUGGAAACUGUGAAGCUGGAGUGCAGGAGAGGUAGGCGGAAUUGCUGGUGUAGCGGUGAAAUGCGUAGAUAUCAGGAGGAACACCGACGGCGAAGGCAGCUUACUGGGCUGUAACUGACGUUGAGGCUCGAAGGCGUGGGGAGCAAACAGGAUUAGAUACCCUAGUAGUC